AGUAAUUGGGGUAGCCUGUGCCUGGGGAGAGGUGUAAUAGUGAAGUGGUGUUAACUCUUGUGAUGGGACCUUAGAGCCUAGGAAGGCUGCCCUGGAUCUGCCCGUUUCAGAAGAGUAACAGCUGGUGGUGAGCAGAGCUGGCUGAAUAAGGACUGGCUCAGAAUGUGCCACAGAUGUACAUAGCACUUUAAAAAGAUGAGAGGCUCGACUGUGAUCAUGCAUCAGUUUUACAUGGGUGUUCAAAUGGAAACAGCUCAUUCAAGUGCUGCGAGGGCCAAGACUUCAAAAGAGAAGGGCUGCUGCUGGAAUGAGUGACUGUGUGUGUCAGGCAAAAGCAGGGUCGUCCGCUUGGAACCAAAGUGAACAGUUGCUUUCUGCCUCCACAGACUGAGGCAUCAAUUUGGUUAAUAUGAUGGUGGUCAGCAGCUAGGGGCUGGAAAAACUAUACAUGGAAUAAACAAAUUAAUCCAGUACUCCAAGACAGACAAAACAAAGCCUUUCCAAAGUGUUUUUCUCAAAGUUGUUAUUUAAAGCUUUCAUGUGGCUUUCACCCACAUUGCAUGGCAUGGGGCAUGACUGAGGUAUACAAAGGCAUCUAGGUACUAGGUCAAAUGGGGAAGAUGUUGCCUGAAUUUAGCAGCAAUCACUAGAUGUUGUUCAUUUAUAAAGUCUGCUUGUUUCCAGUGCUAUACCACAAAACCCCUUUGUGUGGGAUGCAACAUGUGAGGCAGGUUUCCCCCUCCUGCAUAAAAUCCCACAGGAAGGAACCCUGGGAAAGGGGAUAGGGCUUUCUUUGAGUUCUUUCACUGGGAAUAUGGGAUGCAGAACAAGUCGGGGUCUUGGUCCUCUAAUCUUCUGAAUGGAUCUUCAGGGAAUAUGCUGAAGGUACAGGUCCAUCAGGGUGAAGAUUCUAUGCCCAUGCACUGGCUUAGAGCCCCUCUCUCCUGAGCAGCCUGGCAGUGUGGCUCCAGCAGAGCCCAGCUAGAGUUUGGCUGCCCUGAAAUCCUCUAAGAGCGUUCCACAGCUCUGAGAGAGCAUCAUGAGACUACUACAUUGCCAAUGUGGAAUCCAUGCACUGCUGUGGCAGAGGAGGCGAUGAUGCACAGGGCCACCAUAGAAGAAUGAAGGGAAGAACUGACCCAUCUUGCAUCUGUAACUGUGGUUCCAAGGAAUCCAGCCAUUCCAAACCUUCUGCUCAGACUACUAAGCCACUAAUUCAGACCAGGUUACCAGUAGGCCGAGUAUAGGAUGCUGCACAAUUGUCCUUGAGUUUGUCUGUUCUAGUGACCUUAGCCAGAGUUCAGAUACAUCAAGAGCCCUACGUAGCGACGGAAGUCAAGGCUAUUAGUUGAAUACGAAAUAAGUCCUUGAGUAAAAUGAGAAGGAUUUGGCUUUAGAUUUUACACAAACGGAAACUUCUGUUGCUGAUCUGUCAGCGGACACAAAAUGCUAACAUUUUUGUUCUGAAAAGUGUCAUUGAGUGGCGGUAAAGAUUGCUGUAGCUUUGGAGAGCAAUAAAAUAGAGCAACAAGAAACAGGACAAAUCCACUUCCGCUUGGGAUGUAGGAAAGUUUUAUUUUAGAAUGUCCGACUGUUGAGACUCCUCCGUGUACUUAGACAGUGCAUAUGAAACUAAUUAUGGGGAAGGUGACUGAUGGACAAAGUUUACUGGCUUGUGUUAUACAGUCCAGAAAACAUUACAUGACCAUUCCCAGCUGUUGUUCCAACUGGGUACCACCAGCUGUCACAUCAAAUCACAUCACAAAAUAAGAAUAAAGAAAUCCCCCAUAUGCUCCCUCCCUAAAAAACUUUAAAGCCAGUGUUUUUUUUUCAUGAACGCUGAUUCAUCUGAUUACACUUUACCUUCCAGGAAACAGAUGGUAAACACAGGGCAAACUCACGCCAGCAUGCUAACCAAUAAUUCUUGUUUUGAAAACUGCAUCUAAGCUGUCAACUUCAUUUGGGCAGCACUUGGCUUUCUCAAAAGAUUCCUCAGAAUCCAGAUUUUUAAUAUGUGAAAUACAGUAAACAUGGGCAUUAGCUGAGCACUUGCUUAAGGGACGCUUUGCUUUAAAUCCUUUUCCAAUCCAUUUUAACCAAUAACUAAAUCCCUUCCAUAACGAGAACCUGCACUGGACAUCUUCCACAAGUUAGUUGUACUAAAUUGAGAGAGUAUAAUCUAACCCCCCUUGCCCCCUCAGGUUCCAGCAGCUCGGUCCAGGUGAAAGAGAAAUUCUUUGGGGCUGCACUGUGUAUAAUUACCACCACCCCUUUCUGGUCAGCUGGAAGGGCAGUCCCCCCACACCUGGUCCAGCUGCUUCCUGCUUCUACCCACUCUGUCUGGGUAAACUUUUUCCUUCCUACCUCUCUGCUACCAGUUGCCCAGGGAGCCAUUAAAAAAGCAACAACCCCUUUUCUUUCACCCAGAUGGCCGUGGACCCCCCACAUACAGCUGCAGUGAGCACUUUACAAGUACUGCUAGUCAAAUAUAUUAUUCAGAAAAUUUUGUUUAUUUACGUAAAAUACUUUGUGACAAAUUAUGUUUUGCCGUAUUCAGACAGCUCUCUAUGCUGAUCAAAUGCUCUAAGCACUCUAUAGGAACUCAGGGUUUUAUUAAUAUUAAUUAUCCUAUAUAAUGAACAAAUAAUUUAUUUAGCAAAUACCAUCAUUAAAGACUCUUUUUUUCUGUUACUUGACCAAUUAUUGCAAUCAUCUUGCAUGACUGGGAUCUAAUUGCAAUUUAAAAUGCAAGAGUCAUUUAGCUGUACAGCAGUGCUGAGUUUCACUUAGUCAAUAAAAUUGGAUGCUUU